rnacentral:lncRNA from 1 species
CUGGUUGGUCACGUCCCCCGGGAGGCCCCGGAUCAGUAUCUUGCGGCGGUUACGGAACUGGCGCUCGGUGUGUUCCAGGCGUUUCCGGAUCUCUUCUGGAUCUAGAGGCGGCAGCUCUUCUUCCGGCGCCCGGCGCUCCGCGGCAUCGCCGGCUUCGACUUCGGCCCCAGACUUAGGGCUCAGCGGGGGCCGGUGAGUAACGGACACGUCCGCCGCCAUCUUGGGAAACCCGGCGCCUUCUGGGACCAGCGAGCCGGGGCGGAGCGGCAUAGAGCGGCAACGAGGGCGCGCCCGUCGAUUGGCUGGGAGAAACCCCACCUCCUUCCCGCCCCCCUUGCCCCGUUGGCUAAGCCCCAGCCCGCCUCUCAAGAGUUCAAGCUGCGUCUGCGCGCCACAGGCCCCGCCCCCUUCCGUCGCAGCGACGCUACUCAGUGGAUGUGCACCUGGGUGGGAGAGACUUGCAGCGCGGGUGGAAUCAAACCACAGAUUAGGGAGUUUGAAGGCUUUAUUGGUGCGGAAUCUGAGGGCACAGCCAAGCCCCCGCCAACUUUGAUCCCGGAUCCCAGCGUCACUCAGCUCUGGACGGUUCUUCCCCCAUUGCUUGUGUCGGCUGCAUAGACGUGAGGGGCAGAUAGGUGCUCUCCUCCCUAACAUGGUAACUGCCGCUCCGUUUGUGCUCCCUGAAGACGUACAUUAAGGCCAGUACGAUAGUCACCACGCCCAGGGUCAGUAACACCGCCACGAAGACGGGGACAAAGUGGGAGCUCCCAGCUGUGCAGAGAAAGCGCUAAGUCAAUAUGCGUCCCUUCUGUCUCCAACCCCCCCGCCCCCCGGCUUACCGGUCCAGACCCGCAGCCCCGUAUUAGCUCACCCUCAAUGUCCAUCACCACGACCAGGGUGUAUUUGCCUCGUGAGCUGGACGCUUGGCACUGAUAAGUACCAUUAUGUGUUACGUUGACGAAGAACGGGAUCCCCACCGGCACCUCCCGGCUGGAGCCUUCCUUCAAACACCGCAGCUCGGGGUACGGGUUGCCCCUGGCUUGGCACUGCAGGACGUGUGUCGUUUUAUCUUUCCAUUUCAAGUGCUGGGGGCAUGUGGCUCGGUCAAUUUUGGGACCAUCUGUGGAACCACCAUGUGUGAUCAGACACCCAACACACCCGAGGCACAGUGGUGCAGAGGAGCGUCUAAUCUUUCCAGGACAGGGCUGGAGGGAUUAAAGGUCAGGGUGACCGACUCACACAGGACUCGCAGCUGGACGCUACUGUUCCUGUGCAAGAACUCGCCGUCCACCUCGAGAGUGGCACUGCAGAAGAAGCUGCGUCUGUCGUCACUCUCGGUAGCAUUUAGCUGAAGUUGAGCUGGCUGCCCCGGGGCCGCGGCCGGAACUCCGUCCAGCGUGACCUGGACUCGAGCCCCAGCCAUGCAACUCACGGUCACUGUGGACCCCUCAGGGGCGGUGGGCUCGCUGAGGUUCACAGUGGGUCCUAGGAAGCCUAAAGGCGGGGCAUUGCCCAGGAGCUUAAUGAACAGGACCUUCCUGUGGGUCAAGCCGCUCCCUCCGCCCUCCCCUUUCCUCUCGGGAUAUCCGGGCCACGCUUUCGGCCGUUCAAGCCUCGCCCUCUUUCCGCGCUGUGUCCAGCUUCGGGCACUCAGGCCCAACCCACGUUGCAACUGCUAUUGGGGCAAGCCAGGCCCCACCUUUUCGGCUAGUCUCCGCCCCCUCUGCCACGCCCCCAGACUGCUGAGGCCGCGCCCCCUUCCCACGCCUCCUCUUACUAAAGACCGUCAAGUUCUCCCGGGCCUCCCGUCUCUCGCCCCCUAGGGUCACGUUGCAGACGAUCUCCCGGGCACCCUCCUGAUCCGCGCGCGCCGUGGCUGUGGCUGUGGCCGUUAGCGUGUCCCCGUGGUUCAUGACUGUCGCAUUCAGCAUCUGGUCCCCCAGCGCCAGGACACACACACAGGGCCAUGAAAACGGCCUUCUUCAAAGAUCCCACGGCUCGGGCCUCCCUUCCGGGGCCACCUUGCCCAGUGGCCGGGGGCUUUCCUUCCCAGAAGCCUGUGAGGUCCAGGGUACCCCACUCUCAGGAACCCCAAGGUCAGGGCACCGUUUACCCUGGCUCAGCUCGUCACCCACCGUCUGAAGCCCCUUCUCUCACCAAAGGUUCGGAGCUGGCGGGGGGCUGAGGUGUUCACGAACAGUCCCAGCCCCUGGGGCUGCAUGUCCAGUUCUGUGCGGCAUGAGAAAGGGGCUCCGUGGUCGUCUCUGCUGGCCAGCACAGUGGCAGUGACCUCCGCUGGCUCCUCCACUGCGGGCUGCCGGCUCAGCUCCUCCUCCCAGCGAAGCAGCACCACCGUGAGGCUGGUCCGGGGCGACCCACCCUCCACUUGGCAGCGCAGGGUGAAGUUCUGACCCACCUGCUGCCAAGGAGGCAGGGGUGCCAGCUCCACACGCUCCGGGAGCCCUGAGAGAGGAGGGGAGGAUGGCACUUAGCGGGUCCUGCAAACCCACCCACUCACCCCAGGGACUGGGGAGGAGACAGGGCGGUCCUGCCGAGAACUGUGAGCUUUGAGUUAAUAAACUUAGAGGGCUUAGAGCUGGGCCAGUCGAAGCGUUUGCUAUUAUCAUUAGCGCAGUGAUUAUCAUUUCCUGUGUUGUCAGAUACCUUGCAAGGCGCUAAACAAAACUUUCUGUUCUCAAAGAUGGCACAAUAAAAAACAAUGAGGAUGGAAGGGAUGAACGUUUAUGACUAUGAUAUGAAUAUUAAAAAUUCCUGUUUAUGGCCAGAUGUGGUGGCUCACGCCUGUAAUCCCAGAGCUUUGGGAGGCCGAGGUGGGUGGAUCACGAGGUCAGGAUUACUAGUUCAGUUCUCUCCAAUCAGGUUCAGACACUCAGGG